AUUUUUCGAUUUACAACCUAUUAUAACACAUAGAUAUUAUCCUAGUAAAUAAAAAUAAUCUAGAAGGCCUUGAGUAUUUUUGGACGUCCACACCCUCAUGUACGACAAAAGAAAUCCCACGUUGAGCCGCCCCGGUUUAUGAUGGUCGAAGAAAAAUAGAACAACUUUACGUUGUUAUCUCAUGCUGCAGGUGUUUCUUUUUUCACAAACACUUGUAAGUUCAUUCAUAUUCAUAAUAACAGGGACUAAUUGCAUCCACCCCACUUAAUCAUCUUAGUGGAAACCCGUUGGACAACACAAAGAUAAGUGGGCUAUCCCAUUCAACCCGCUGGAACCACCUCACCACUUACACAGUUUUCCAAAAAAAAAAAGACAAACCAACGACCGCGCUGUGAGCUCUCGCGGGCAUAGGGUUCGAGCCGCCGCCCCUCUGCCUGGCCGCCGGCGGCGCGCUGCUCCUCCAGCCACACCCCUCUUCUCCCUCACCCGCAAAAAAAAAAAGCUCGCCGGACCGAUUCGUGCCAGCCCCGCUCACCUGAGCUCCGCCUCUGCAAGUGUCGACUCCCCUCCAACGCCCUCUGCCCCUUAUGGCAUCUCUCUCCACUCUUCUCCUCCAUCCAAGAUUUGGUGGUUCGACUCAUAUCCCAGACGCGAUGGUCAGAUCGCCGCCAGCCCCUAUCCUGACCCCAAGGUCGCAGGCAGCGUCAAUCACGAUGCCCAGGUCGCCGCCACCCCCAACCUCCACGCCCAUGCCCUGGGCCACAGGGCUCUUCAAAAUGCAUUCCAGAGGAUUCAACAUCUUGGAGAUAUUCGAAACGGGAAGAGAAAAAAUGGCUCAUGUCCACCAUAUUUAGAGCAUGUAGCCUUCUGAUGUGUUCACAAAUUUUCUGUCAUGUGGUGUUUAUUAAUGAAGUGAUGUUCACUUCUGAAGCAAAAAUGGUGUUGCAGUCUGGUUGCAUGUAGCCUGAACCAAAGCUAUAUUAUUUUCAGGUGAUUUCUAACUUGCAACUACAAUUCACAUAUGCAUGCUGUAUACAGCCACGGUUCAUAUAUGCAUGUUGGGUACACCCUCUGUUUAAAUUUGGACGUACUUUGUGAGUAGAAUCUAUUUUGUAUAUCUGCACAUAUACGUCACAUAUCUACAUGUUGUAUACCUUUGGGAAGUGGGAACCCACUUGAUCCCACUUAACCCACGUAAGUUUUACUGGGUUGUUGGUUAUAACCCACCAAAACCUGUUAGAUUAAGUGAGAUGUGGUGGGACUCCCGCUAUCAAUCCCAUCUGCAGCCUGAUUGUUCCAUCAUCGCCAUGAAAAAAGAACAACCACAUCUCUUUGGACCGUAGCUUCAACAAAAUCACCCUGUCAAAAAACAAGAUGAAGAACAAGAAGCAUAAACUCAAAAAAGACAUACUAGAAAUCCGACUUGCAAAAAAAAAUACACAACAAAAAAGAGAGGAUGAGGCUAAUUAACUACUACCUCCGCACCAAAAUAUAAGAUAUUUUUGGUUUUGCAUAAGGCAUAAAAACAU